AGGGUAAACGCUGGCGGCGUGCCUAAAACAUGCAAGUCGAACGGGCAGUCUUCGGAUUGUCAGUGGCAGACGGCUGAGUAACGCGUGGGUGACGUACCUAUCGGUGGGGAAUAACUGCCCGAAAGGGUGGCUAAUACCGCAUACGUCCAUCGCAGUCGUGCGAUGGGGAAAAUCGCAAGAUGCCGAUGGAGCGGCCCGCGUUCGAUUAGCUGGUUGGUGGGGUAACGGCCUACCAAGGCGACGAUCGAUAGCUGGUCUCAGAGGAUGAUCAGCCAGACUGGGACUGAGACACGGCCCAGACUCCUACGGGAGGCAGCAGUUAGGAAUUUUGGGCAAUGGGCGCAAGCCUGACCCAGCAACGCCGCGUGGGUGACGAAGGCCUUCGGGUUGUAAAGCCUUUUCUGGGGAAGAGUGAUGACGGUACCCCAGGAAGAAGCACCGGCUAACUACGUGCCAGCAGCCGC
rnacentral:rRNA from 1 species